rnacentral:lncRNA from 1 species
UCCUGCUUUCCUGACCCUCUCCGCCAUUUAAAGAAACAGUACCGGGGGCGGGCCGAGCGACGCAGCCGGGACGGUAGCUGCGGUGCGGACCGGAGGAGCCAUCUUGUCUCGUCGCCGGGGAGUCAGGCCCCUAAAUCGAAGAAGCCCUGGCGCGCCCUCCCCCCCUCCCGGGUCUGAUAGCAGACUCCUUGAAAGCAGGGUCCUUGUUUAGUGCAUCUUUGCCCACAUACACCACAACAUAUCAAGAUGCAUUUAUUAGGAAGGAGGAGUUUAGAGAGCAGGCUAUCAGAAUAACCACUCAUCCUGUGCCUCCUGAUUGCUGAGUGUUCACCUGGACCUUCUGACUACCUUCCCUGUGCUAUUCCAUCAGCCUACAGACCUGGUACCUGGAUUUUUGCCCGAGAUGAUUCCUACCACCUUACUACUGACGAAGACACCCAUUCCAGUGGACCACUGUGACCCAGGAGGCAUUCAGCCAUCAUGAUGUGGCCUUUACCUCCACUCCUGUCUUGUUCUACCCAGAUUCAGCACAGCCCUUUAUAGUGAAGUCAGAGUCCUCAAGCCAAAUAGCUAAAGCUGUUUUAUCACAACAAAGGCCUAGUUUGUUCCAUGAGUGUGCAUUUCAUUUCUUCAGUUAAAGCCUUCAGAGACACACAAUAAAUUUGGACCAGGGGAUUUUUUAGUUAUUAAUGCUCUCUGAAGAAAGGCAACAUCUUUUUGAGAGCAGCAUUGGACCACACCCCACAAUCUCAAAUGAUUGAAAUUCAUGAACAUCUAGGAUCCCGUGAAGGUCACUGGACCCUGUUUUUUCUACUUCAAAUCCUGUAGUAGCCUACUGAAUGAGAAAACAUAUUCUGACCCAUUGGGAUCAAAUCAAAGGCACAGUGAACUCCUCAUAGCAUCUUCUUUGGAAUUACUCAGGAACCAGAACUUUUUACACAAAUGUAAGAAAUUCUACCAAGGAGUCCCCUUACCUAACAGCAUCUCACAAGGCUGCACCAGAUUCCAGAAAAGGCUUCUCUUGAUACAUCAAGGUAGAACCUCUAUGCAUUUUGUGACCGACUUAUUCUUAGAUCAUUGGUUUUCCAAAGGCUUUGUGGCCAUGAAGCCCUUUGAGUGAAAACUGUGCAGAAGCCCAGAGUAAAAGUGAAGCUGCUCUGGAUGAAGUAGUGAAGCAAGAGUAGGGGCCUGAAUCCUGCUACAACUAUCUUCCUUUACCACCGUGGUGACACCUAAGGGGACUUCCUUACAACACCUUGAACUCUUCCGAACACAGUUUGAAAACCACUGCCCCAGACAGCAAUAUGUUUGACCUGAAUGGCAUUCCAAUCUUUUCUGUACCUCCACUCAGCACAGUUCAUGUUCAGUAGAUGCUGAACAUUCUUAGAAAUACUGUGUGUGAACUUAGAAAAGUGCAAGAAGACAGGCAUGUCUUUGACCCCAGGAAUGAUCAUUUGCUGAAGAUGGUGUCAAGUGAACCUAGAUUAACAGCCCUCCACUCCAGAUGGAUAUCCAGUGAUUCCUAGAAUGGGAUAUAGCCAGAGAACAAUUCUAUGCACCCUACACUGACAGACUCCCUUAAGCAACACCAGAUGCUCUACUGGUACUUGAAGUACAUGACUUUGAAGUCUUGACCCUCCAUGAAUACCUGAAUUAUCAGCAAGCGGGUUUUGAAGCUGGUGCCUCAUUGAGGCCAUAUUAGAGCAACUUGUACAUUUGACCUCUUGUUAUCAGCCAUGGUACUCUACUUCGUGUGCAAGAGAUAACUAUGAAAGCCAAAUUCAAAUACUGGCAACAUUUCCUAAAGGGGCUCAAUAUCUAUCAUUCGUCUUCUUUUCCAAACUACACAUCACUGUAUGACUCAACCAGUAGCAGUUAUAUUGCCCCUUGGUUUUUAUUCAGUUUAACUACUGUUUCCAAGAUAAAUGAGCUAAUAAGCUUUAAAAAAAAAAAAAAAAAAGGCUGAAUUCUUUUUUCUUCAUCACUGGCAUAUCUGCCUAUUCUCCAGAAUUAUUAUGACUAUUCAGCUCACUUUAACAGUUGAACUUCAAGCGACAAUCUUUGAACACCCCUUCUCAUGUGAUUUAAAAUGAAACCAUUUGGAAAAGUUUCUUCUAGCCAGUAAUAGAUUUUUUUUUUAAUUGCUCUGCCUUGUGCCGAGAGAUGUUCUUUUAAGAUGAAUCUUUUGAUGUCUGAUACCACCAAAUAUAGGUGGUAGGGAGAGUUGGAGGCUGGCCCUUUGAGCAGGCCAUUAGCUUACUUGCUGGGCAUUUCCGAUAGCUUAUUGCCUACCUUUUUGCUGGAAACAAACUGAUUUGAAAAACAAAAUCUAUGAAGACUGCAGCUAAGGAUUUUAUCGGUAGACUUAAGAGCUUUUGUCCUUGUGGAUAUUUUAGUGGAACCACAUCAGUCUCAAUACUGUCAUUUUACACUGACUCAGAGCAGCUGACUUCAUUCCUUGCCAUGAUAUAUAUUUAAGGCAGGCAUUGUAACAGACAUAAAGACAACUUAUCUGUUUCAGCAGGAAGGAUUCAGUUUAUGAACUCUCAGACCAGAUCAUGUUGAACAAGGAGACUUUGAUGUGUGUCAUGAGAAAACUCAUUCUUUACUUCCCAGUCAAUUUAAAGGCCAGCUAUCCUGAGCUACUCGAAUGAAUGCACUGGUUAAACAUUGGAAAUAGUUUGUUUAUAUCCUUGUCUCUCUCUAGGCCAAUUGUGAUUACAUGACUCGACUCUACAUCUCGUCAAACAAGGCCUAGGUCUGGUUGCUGUAGACUGCUCGCCCUCAACAAAUAAAAUCUGGUUGACUAGCCUCCUUGUAUAUACAACUAUUAUUUGUUAAGAAGAAAUUAUCGUCAAUUUUCUACUACCUUCCAAUUGUCAGCUCUUUUUUUCCUCUCUGGUUUUUCCUAUACUUUACAGAAAAAGACAUUGAUCUAUACUGCCAUUCCCUCUAAUCCUGCCAUACUCAGUCAAAAGGAAUGACUUAAGAUGAAGAUGAUCAUCUGCUCGAGUCUAAAAUAUACAUUGUAUAUAAGAAUUGGUGAUUAGAAAAGCAAAAAACCUAAAACUUAAAUCUAGGAGUCUGUAUACUGUCUCCAUGUCUCCAUGCCUCAGAUCUCAUCUAAAUCUUUGAACAGCACCAUUCAACCAAUCUGAGGCCUUGACUUGCUUGUAAGAUGAUUCUCAGAGAUCGGCUGAGUUAAAAAAGAUGACGACUUGAUUACCAAAGAAAGUAGGGCCAACUUUGACAAAUCUGGCUCUGCUGACCCUGUCACUCCCAGAUGUAGCAUAGACUCCUAAACAGAACCUCAAGUCUGAUUGAGGAUAAGGCCUUCUCCUGAGCUGAAAGUUCUUUGGCAGAUGAGCAAGAAACUGAAAGCUGAUGUACCUGACUGGCUCUGUAAGAUCAGAAAACUGUAUCCAGAAUAAGCCCUAUGGAUUAACCCCUGAGUACCCAGAGUAAAAACUAAUUUACAGAACUUCCUUAUUGAUCUGCUGGUUCUUCCAGAUCAUAUUCUGGCUAUUGGUAUGGCUGGCCUUUCUGAAGGUACCCUGCUUGUCUAUUUUCCUGACUCAGCUCUUGCCUGCCUUUUUCACAUGUUGCUGCAAUUAGACUCACCGUGAGGACUACAGUCAAUUUCAGUCUAUCUUGUGCCCAAUACAACAAGGAUUUUUAAUAGUAACAACCCACACCUCACCCACUAGGACUCAAUGUUCACAACAGGAAGGACCAUUGCUGCAUACUCCUUGACCAGCAACUUUUUUGAAGAUAUUUUUAAGUGCAGAGUAGGCCUCUAUUCCUGUAUGUAAUUGUUCAUUUUCAGCACCUGGAACCUCAUCUAUCGGGUCUGGAAGGAAUACAGCAGUUCGAAAGCCGCGUCCAUUUCUCUCCUUCAGUAGUGCAGAAAUGAGUCCGAUUCACCAGUACACACAGAACUGUACCAGUUCAACCUAGCAAAAGAAGAAAAGUUUCCACUGUACUUAAAAUUUACAGCUGACUCAAAUUGCCUCACAGAAUUAUUUGAUGUAGAAGGCUAGUUGUCUUACUUCAGAUCAGCAGGACAGUUGGGCUCUCAGACUCAUGACCACUGAGUUUGCUUGUGUUGAAACUGUGGUUUCAUCCAACAUAUGCUAUUGGACAUGAUUAUUAUUCCAUUCAAAUGGAUUACAGACUUCUUGAGGACAGGACAAACUUAUCUCUCAUGGUGUUUUUUUAGAAUACUUUUAUAACCAAGGAAGAAACCAUGCCAGCUGUUACCAUUCAACUUCUUAAGCAGAGAUUAAGCUUUUUCAUAUCUGUUCUUAUCCUGGACAUCAGUAGUUUUUAAUUGCCCAGCAUCCGUUCCAUCUUGUAACAACUCCCUGAUGUUUCUUAAAACCACCUCUUCCUAUUUUCAGUCUGUGGUUUGGACAGUCUGACCCAACCUUGAGCUUUGUGGGUGAACAUGUAAUUCAGACCUCAUCAAUCAGCAAAUCCAUCUGAACUGUGGAGGAGAAGCUCUCUUUACUGAGGGUGCUUUAGCUUUGUAGGAUGAAAACCUCAAACUAACAGGGCCUACCAUGUAGAGAAUGAAGCCAGUGCAGGGGAAAGCAGAGCCAAAAUAUGGAGAGACUUGAAUCCUGAUGACAGCGUUUGUGCCCCUGGAUCCAACCGUGCCUGAAGCUAGAAUAUCCCCUGGACUUUUCAGUUAUGUGAACCAAUAAAUACCCUUUUUUGCUUAAGUUACUUUGAGUUGGGUUUCUGUUACUUGAAAUUGAAUCCACACUAAUAUAUCUACCAACAUUGAGACUUGACAGAUCCAAGUAUUUAUUAAGCUAGAGGUCAUGGUCACUGAAAUUACUUUCCAAAGUGGAAGACAAAAUGAAACAGGAACUGAGGGAAUAUUUAAGAUCCCACAGAAGCGUAAAAAUGACAUGGUAGAAAGUAAUAGAAAACCUAAAUGUCUGUCAUUAAAGGAUAGGUUAAGGUGUGGUUCAGCCAUAUAGGAAUAUCUCGUAUCUGUUAAAAUGAAUAAAGUACAUUCAUUGUGUAUGGAAAAAUGGCCAUGAUACAUUAGGUGAAACAAGUUAUUAAUAGAAAAGUGUACAGUGUGAACUCAUUUUAAAAUGUGUGUGCUUAUGUUUAUAAAUGCAUAGAAAGGUCUAUUCACAGCUUUCUUUGAACAGUGUAGAUCACAUGAAACUUUCAACUUUAUACAUUUCUGUAUUAAUAUUUUACACUACCCACAUUAUUUUUAAACUUUAUUUUAAAUAAAGAAUUUUUAAAAUUAAA